rnacentral:rRNA from 1 species
AGAGUUUGAUCCUGGCUCAGGAUGAACGCUAGCGACAGGCUUAACACAUGCAGGUCGAGGGGCAGCGAGGGAGUGGCAACACUUCUGUCGGCGACCGGCGCACGGGUGAGUAACGCGUAUGCAACCUGCCCUUCACAGGGGGAUAACCGGGAGAAAUUCCGACUAAUACCGCAUACGUCCUCCGGGGGCAUCCCCGGGGGAUGAAAGAAUUAUCGGUGAAGGAUGGGCAUGCGUGAUAUUAGGUAGUUGGCGGGGCAACGGCCCACCAAGCCCACGAUAUCUAGGGGUUCUGAGAGGAAGGUCCCCCACAUUGGUACUGAAGACACGGACCAAAACUCCUACGGGAGCA